GCCAAACCCCUGCCUUACUGACCUCUCCCCUGGAGGAGCAGGAGGAGCGCUCGAGGCCGCCCUGGGAGGGCUGAGAGGCAGGCUCUGGACUGGGGACACAGGGAUAGCUGAGCCCCAGCUGGGGGUGGAAGCUGAGCCAGGGACAGUCACGGAGGAAGAAGAUCAAGAUGCGCUUUAACUGAGAAGCCCCCAAGGCAGAGGCUGAGAAUCAGAAGACAUUUCAGGAGACAUCUACAAAUCUGAAGGACAAAACAUGGUUCAAGCAUCUGGGCACAGGCGUAGAAAUGGGGUUUCGCCAUGUUCGCCAGGCUGUUCUUGAACUCCUGACCUCAGGUGAUCCACCCGCCUCGGCCUCCCAAAAGAACAUACAUAUGAUAGUUGAGAAAGACACAUAUUCUGAUCAUGAAGAAAUAAACACAAGUUAAAUAUGACUAAGCAGAAAGAUGGAAGGACCAGGAACGGUGAUGCUAACUUGGAACCACGAUGCAGGCUCUAAACUCCUCUAAAAUCAUCCUCCCUUGUGAGAAAAAUACAUAAGUCACUCUUAAAAUAAAUAGAAACCUGAACACACUUCUUAGCUGGUUUAAG
rnacentral:lncRNA from 1 species